UGUGUCUCAAUGUUUUCAGCAAUUUAGCAAAAGUAUGUGUGGCUCUUAUUUGGAAUAUUUCAAGUAGAAUUUAAGAGUGAAAUGUACUGUAUACAUUCUUCUGUGAUCAAAAUUAGUUUCAGAAAUGUGUAUGCAUGGGAAAGUGUUUGAAAGAAAUGUACAUUUUGUAACUAUCUCAUGAUGGCAUUACAUUCCUUUUCAGGGUUUUUCGGAGGGCACUGCUUCUACUUUUGAUUACUCUUUAAAAGACAGAGCUCCGUUUACGGUCAGAAAUGCUGUAGGUGUUCCCAUGAAGGUGCAGCUCAGUCGUAACCUGAGAGUGAUGGGCUCCCCAGGGAAGAGCGAUGUCUAUGGUGUGGAUGCCGGUCAGCAUCUGGAACUGGAGUAUGCCAGCACGGAACCUUCCUCUCAAGGGAAGCUGUCUGUGCUGAGCCGUCAGGAGAGUUCCUUCUUCACGCUGACUUUCGUACCACAUGGAUACACAGAGGUUGCCAAUGUCCCUGUUGCCCGACCUGGACGGCAGUUGUACAAUGUGCGGAAUCCCCACGCCAAUUACUCAGACUCCGUCUUGGUACAGAUUGAUGCCACCGAAGGGAAUAAAGUCAUCACCCUCCGCUCUGUGCUGCAGAUUAAAAACCACUUCUCUGUUCCAUUUAUUAUCUAUAAACUGGUUAAGAAUGUUAAACUUCUGGAGCGCAUUGGAACAGUCAGCCCCGAAGAGGAGUUCCAUGUCCCUUUAGAUUCGUAUAGAUCUCAGUUGUUUAUCCAGCCGGCUGGGGACUUAGAGCAUCAGUACAAGGAGUCGACCACCUACAUCCCCUGA
rnacentral:lncRNA from 1 species